UCCAGGCGCGCCUCCCCUCUCCGGGACUUUCACAGCCACCGGGGACAUCAUCCUCUCUUCCUGCCCCACUCCUGCCUGCUCGGCCUCGGCGCCCAGAUCUCCAGUGGCUCAGGCUCCCCUUGUCCCCAGCCGGUCCGGAGCUGCGGUCAGCGGACAGUACGGCCGGCCCAGGUCCGACACAUCCUCGUGAUGGUCCCGCCUCACUCACCCUCUGUCACCUCGAGCACCUUAAUUUGUUCCUCGGCAGCCGCUCGCACCUCCUGCACUGGGGACAGGAUCCCGGUGAGCGUAUCCACCAACGCCUCCUUCAGUCCUUGUGCCACUGGACCCGGCAGCCCGGAGGCCGCACCAGCNNNNNNNNNNNNNNNNNNNNNNNNNNNNNNNNNNNNNNNNNNNNNNNNNNNNNNNNNNNNNNNNNNNNNNNNNNNNNNNNNNNNNNNNNNNNNNNNNNNNNNNNNNNNNNNNNNNNNNNNNNNNNNNNNNNNNNNNNNNNNNNNNNNNNNNNNNNNNNNNNNNNNNNNNNNNNNNNNNNNNNNNNNNNNNNNNCGGGACCCGCCACUGAAUGACGGCUCCCGCGCGCGGCCAAUCCGCGAAGCCGCGCCUGCGCACCAGAGUCGGGCGGGAGCUAGAAGGGGGCGGGGAAUGGGUCUAAACCUCCAGAGACAGCGCCUCCUGCCGUAUGGACGAAAACUACACGUUUUCCCGCGAGAAUCGCUUCGCAUUUUUGUGAAAACUGAGCUCCAGAGAGGUUAGGGGGCUUUCCUGAGUGGAACAGCAAGUUAGUAAACUCACUUGGAACAAAGCCUAUGAUAGAGGACUUUAGAUACAUGGAUCUUUCAGGUAUAAGCUACAGUGUUAGGAGAGAGGAGUUGAGAUGGGAAUGGGUGUAGAGGGCUUUAAGGAGAGAGUUCUGGGUCAGAAAUAGCUAUUUUAAACCAGCCUUUUUCGCCCCCUCAAACACUGAACAACAACAACAACAACAACAACAACAACAACGGCUCAAGUGAGCCUCUUCAUCUCAGGCUCAAGAAUUCAAAGGUAGGGGAAAAAGAAACCGAAGUGGAUGGAGCAGCGGGGAGUGGUCACCUGCCAUAGACCCAACCCCCUGGUUUUCCAGCCUAGUUGAGCCCAACUUCAAAAUUAGAAUGUCUGGCCAGGAGAGGGCACCUGCGUGGGAAAUGGUAUUUCUUUCCUCCGGAGAAAGUACUUGAAUGUCUAUUUGAGAAUGAAUCCUAUUCGUUGAGAAUGUAUAAUUUUUUUUUUUCUCCCCCAGAGAAAUUGUGCUGGACGUUUAAGGAAUGAAGGAACAAGAGUAGUUUAAUAUGGAUAUCCCACGGCUGGUCACAGGAAAUGGCUGAAAGAAUAGAGAUAAUUCUAAAUACUGGAGCGAGUGGAGAGGAUUAUCGAGAGGAGUUAAGAAUGCAGGGCAGAAUUAACAAAAAAAAAUAAAUUGCAAAUUAAAAAAGAAUCAGGGCAGGUUGGUGAGCAUGUAGUGCCAGAUGGAUGGAAUGGUAUGUUAUUGGGAGUGGGAAGCGCUAGACCAAAGAGAAACAGGUCAUUUUUAGUAGCUGUUCAGGUUGAGUGCCUUAAAAUGGUUUCUAGGAACUCUGACUCUCCCAAGUGGCAGAGGAAACCAGAUGGCAAUUCCUCACCUACUUCUAGGCCUGUGGCUGCUAAAUUGAUGGUGAUCUGGGGUUGUCGGUUCAUCUGAGUAUCUUCCUAAAGAUUGACUCCUUGAUUUGAGGAUAGCUCUAAACAUAUUUUGUCACCUCCCAUGUUAGAGGACAGGUGGGUUGUGUUACUACAAUUUCGUAGGGAAAAAAAAAGAUUGCUUCUCGGACCUUGAAAUUCCAUAGUAGGGAGUUGUAGGACUUCUUUUCCUUCUUUCCUUGUUCCAUUAGAACAGCUUCUUUUCUCAUCGGUUAAUUUGCCUUCACCCCUGGAAGAAAACUUAGGAAACUCCAGAGGGUGGUCGAUUUUCAAACAUUGUGGCAGUGGAUGGAGGACUCAAGAACCCUGAAUUUUGGGCUGGUGAAGGAGGCUAUGUCCACAGCAUGCAAGUAGGAACCACAUCCACCCCUUUCCCAACCAAAGGGGUCCAGAACUCCUGCUUAGGAUUUGAGGAUCAAACAUUUCCAGGCAGGUGAGGUUUACCUCUUGGUUAGGCAAAUGACUACCAGUAGUCUCACCUUGCAGAUCAGGAAUGGGCCACAAGAUAAAUGGAGACAGAAACCAGACAGAGAGGGAACUAGAUAGAACCAGUGGACAAUACAGGAGAUAGCUUUAUUGAAACACAAAUGGCAUGGAACAGAUGAAUCUUGCUGGGAGGAGACAAGCCUGAUGGACAGAGGAACCUCAUGAGAGGGGCCUCUGGCAGUGAUGGAAGAAGGCCUCUUCAGCUGGCCUGGCAUGGAUUUGAUUUUCAAUCAAUUUGUUUCUUAAAACAAAUUACUGAGCAGACAGCCCAGCUCUCUUCAUGAUUGUUACCGCAACUAUAUACAACGGUUUGCUUUCCAGAUUCAAAUUUGCUUUCUCUACACUAGAUUAUAAAAGGGGGUAGAUUUAAAAAGAGGCGAGGGUCAAAUGAGAAAAAACACAAACACACAGACACACACAUAUCCUGGUCUGGGGCUUUAUGUCCAAUAAAUUAAAAAAAAACACAAAAACCAAAAAAAAACAAAAAAACCUCUUGCAAAAAUUCCUGCCCACUUUCCACCUGAGGGUCGGCAUGCAUUUGAGAAACACAGACUCCAUCACGUGAACAGCGCUGCCUAAAACAGGAUGGGGGUGAGGUGGGGGGAGGGAAGGAAUCUAGCAGGGGUUGGAAUUCAUCAAAAAAAAAAAAAAAGAUUGUUCUGUUAAAAAAGAAAAACAAACAAAAAACAACGGUAACAAAAAACAUUAGGAAGUGGGAGGCUACUGCACAGCAGUAACCAUAUAUUGGCUGGGAUAUGGGAGCUCUUGGCUUAUUAUCCAACACCUUCCAUCUCCAAGGAAUGGCAGGAAAGCAGAACGACCCCACAGGAGAUGAUCAAAGGCCCAUCAUCAGCCUUUUGGGGACUGAGGGGGUGAUGUUAGUGCAAUAGUUUUACACUCGCCUUCUUCCAGCCUUAGUUCCCCCUCCAGACCCUUGGUUCUAAAUUUCAAGAGGUCUAGUACUAGCACAUUUCUUUGUCCUUUAUCCAUAAGCUCCCUCUCAGGGAAAACUGACAAACUUGAGACAGAACCAGUUGUAAACAGCCCCAUCUACCCUAUGGUCCCAUCAGCUACCCCGUGAAUCUGGAAAGGUAAGAAGCUCCUUUCAGGGUUGUUUGUUUGUUUUUUAAGAUUUUAUUCCAUCACUGUGUCUGAGUAGGUCUGUACCCAAGUCCUGGUGUGAGGAAGGAAAGGAUGGGCCCAGGGACUUAGUUGCCCCUGUCCCACAUCUUCAUUGUGUUUCAGUCUCUCCUGUGAGCCGAGCAGAGCAUGGAGAAGGGAUCUUCCUGGGGUCCUCAAGCCCUCCAGCUGCCUUGGGGAAGGAGGUUCUGGCCAGGUUCUCAGACCCAGAAGUGCCUUUAGAACUCAGCGAAAGGAGAGGGCUUGUUGCUAAGAGAACAAGUUGCCAUGGAAAUACAAAUGAGAUUUUCUGCCUUUUCUUAUCCUAUUAUAUAAUCAGAAAAAGGCUCACUGUAGACACAAAUAAUCCAGCAGAAGAGCAAUCUGGAAGAGACCUCCGACUGCUUUUUUUUUCUGUGACAGCCCAUUAGUUUCCCAGGUAAAAAUUUCAGAGCCAUACUUUUCUCUGAAGAUUGUGUUCAGCUAGAAGAGAGGCCAGCAUCCCCCCUAAUGUCUACCCAAAGGCACAUGUACCUUUUCUGUGUUAAAUAAAAGGAAAAACAGAAACAUAAAGAAGCACAAGAAAGGUGAGUUUGAAAUUAAUAUUAGAGUCUGAAUUAUAACCUGCGACCUUCUAAUUUUCAGUCCUAAAGCCCCUCAGCAUGGGGAUUCUGCUACUUGGCUUUCCCUUUUAAAAAGUGAAUUUCAAACUGUAGCAUGCAUCAGAAUUACCAACAGGGUUUGUUAAAACAAAUUGCUGGGCCCUCUCCCUCGUUUCUGAUGCCGUAGGUCUGAGAUGGGGCCUGUGAAUUUCAUUUUUAACAAGUUCCCAGUGCUUGCUGCUGCUGGUCUGGAAACACAGGUUGAAAACCACUAAAAAGUUGAAUCAAGGAAGCAAGAGUUCACUUACUUCCCUGGCCACUCUUGACACAGAAAAUUCUCCAUGGCAUAAUCAUUCAGAAAAAUAGCCAAGGGGCACCUGGGUGGCUCAGUCGGUUAAGCGCCAGACUUUGGCUUGGGUCACAAUCUCAUGGUUCUUGAGUUCGAGCCCCACCACGGGCUUGCUGCUGUCAGCACAGAGCCCGCUUUGGAUCCUCUGUUUCCCUCUCUCUGCCCCCCCCCCCCCCCCCCCCCCCCCCCCCGCUCAUGCUCUCACUCUCUCUCAAAAAUAAAUAAACAUUAAAAAAAGAAGAAGAAAAAUAGCCAAAACAUCAAACUGGGAGGAUCCAGUAUACAUAGGUUUAAUUUUCAGCUGUAAUGGUCUCUGUGCAGCUUCCAUUGGUGUCCUCAUCUUCCAGUUUAUUCUGUUUGCCAGGGUCCAUGGCUGGCAGUGCUUGCUUCCCGGGCUAGGCUGAGCACACACGCACACGUGGAUCUGCAGCAGCGGAGAGAGCUAAGUUGGUGGCCCCAUAUGUCCCUGAUCAGGUUGGCUGAGGACUCAUGAAUAUAUAAAGCUGAUUCAAGUAUAAAGGGCAGUAUCUUCAGGCGUUGGCCUUUUGGGAACAGUGUCCCUAAGACCAUUUUAUUACUUAUGGCCUCUUUAGUGGAGUCAUGAAUCACUAGUAGCCAGAACUCGCUAGUAGUUACUAGUCAUCGAAAGAGUGUACCAGGAUUAAAUCAGUAUAUCCAUCAGUAAACCCUCAGGAAAAACACAUUUCACCCCAUUUGUGGGGUUGACUUAUGAUAGUCUACUUAUUAGCUUCAGCUCAGCUAAGGCCCAGGAAUAAGAAAAAAAGGUUAUGGUGAGGAGUUACAUUUGGUGAUCUGGUUACUUUAGCACUUGAACCCCAUGAUAAAUGUGUGAUUAGGACAAGAACAGCUUCCUUUCCCAAACACCCUGCAAUAAAGAGACCAUAGAGCCUCCUGUAGGUCUCUUGAUGCUGGCUUGUAGGACCAAGUCUCACUCAGUAUGGCAAAUUUUACCUAUAAGCAGAAUUUCUGUAUAUGCGUUGUCAGGCGAUGAUGUGAGGCGUUUGUGAGGAAGGGCAGGCUGUUCUCUUCCUACUCUUUUGUAAUACUACAGAAACUAGUUACAUCCGAGACUAAAAGGGGGCGUCCCUCUGUAUAGUGUGACCCUGGUCUCAGGGAGCCAGAAGUGAAGACACGGGGAGAUAAGGUCCAUCGGGAAUCUUGCAAACCAGGAAAACCAAAAAGCCAGAAGUGAAAUGAAAAAAAAAAAAAAAAAAGUCACUAUUUUGUCUGAAACCCUUACGGGCUGUGAGUAGAUUAGUUAGAAGGCUGGUAAUUUAAAACCAAAUGUAGCAUGGCAAUCAAUAAGGACUUCACUGUAGGGUCUGUCCGUGGACAGCAAAUCUUUCUUCCUUGCUAGCCUCUAGCUUCCCAAUGGUUAGACUACACGAAAAAGACAUUGGUAUAAGGAUUCACACAAAGACAGAGAUAAGCACCGUAGAGCUGCCACAAAGCAUAGAUUUUUAAAAAAAUAUUCUGAAGCCUCAGAAGAUAGGAACCAGCAACAGCAAACUGCUCUUGUGAAAGAGAGAGAGAGAGAGAGACACACACACACACACAGACAUCAGGUCCCAUAUUAGCCUCCAAUUACCUAGUAUUUUAUUUUUAAUGCCUAGGCAGGGAUUGAGAAACACAUACACUGGACAAAAUGUGUUGGUUGUCUUCAUCCAGAAAUGAGAGGGACUCUGCUGAGGAACCUCUCCUGCAGUUGUGGCUCUCCUCAGAAGUUGAUUUUGGGUAUUGACCCAUGUCCUCUGCUAGCCCACUUUGGUGAGGAAUGGAGAUGAGGGUCUGGAGAGGAAGGGGAGAGCACACAUCCCAGUCCUAGACAGGCUGGGUUCUUCUGAAGGUGCCUGGGGGCUGAGAAUUUAGCUGGGGGACCCAGUUUUCAUUUUUGGAGGGAUCCCAGUAGCCUCAACUAAGAAGCACGUGCGUAGGUAGGAGAGAAUGCUGUGGAUUUGCUCUUGCCAUCAAUUCCAGGGCAGUAAGGGGGAGCUCAGCUUUUCUGCUUCAGAGAAGUCUGGAUGAGCACCCCAAGGGGUUAUAGCACCAUGAGGAGGCUCAACCUUCUGCAGUUGCCACAUAACCAUGAUUCCUUGGUGAGAUGAUAGAUCCCCACAAUGAGGGGCCCAAGUGCGCAACUGUAAACAGGGUCCCAGGCUCCAGAGGGAAAGCUGAGGCUGCAGUGCUACCUCAUUAGACGGGAACACGCUUUUUGGAGGAAAGCAACUAGAGACCUGGGCUAAAUGCAGCAGUCAACUCAGAGUAGAGGGUGGUGGGUCCCAAGAAUAGAGAUUAAAAUUCAUACCAGGAGAGGCCUCCAGAAUCAACCUGUUGAGGAUCCAAGGAAAAUUCCCGGUGGUAUCCAUGGUUACCAGGGAGACAAGAAUCCCUUUGGAGGUCUGAGGCAGUUGGAAUGGAGGAAGGGGCUCUCCCCUUUCCUUUUUCUCAAGUAGCCAGUAACAUCCAUGCUAGAAGGCACUGGCUGGGCAGCACCAGAAAGUAGAGAAUUAAAGGCUCAAUCACCUUAUCAAGGUGGCAUUACAAGUCUGAGCCUUGCCAUGGGACUGGAGCUAAGGACAGGGUUCAGAAGAGGCCUCGGUCCAAAGAAGGCCCAUCCGGUCUUCCCUUCCUUCCAAGUUAGAACACCCAGCUCUGGGGUGUCCUCAUUCUGCACAGCAGAGACCUUAAGGCAGUGAUUUCAGCACCAUCCUUGAACAAACAUCCUCUUCCCACCACAGAAUUGCAUAUUUUACAGCUGAGUUGGUUGGGGAUCUUCACAGCUCACGGACUUAGCAGCAAAAGCAGUAAUAGUCUCCAUCAUAGAGGACCCUGUCAUCCCUGGGAGCUACCAGGUGAAUGCAGAAGCUUUCGUGGGGAGCAACCCGAACCAUCUUUUGGACCUAAAUGGAAAUAUCCUGAUGUGAAGAGUCCGAUGCAUGUAUUCCUUGGUUGGGGAGGACAGAAUGGUCCAGGUUCGUACGCCUAGAAGUUCUGAUAAGGUCUUGUGCUACUUAGGAAUCUGAACAACAAGUGCUUGGACCCAGGCUGAUCACAUAUCUUUGAUCUGCAGAACUCUGAGACUUCAUCUUCACCAGGCGGUUCAACCUGGAUCUGGUCCCACGGGGUCUUCCAGAAAUGGCGGGAAGAGAACUUGCCCACUUGAGAUAAAGCAAGAUUCCGUAGUCCUUCAGGGUCCAUCUUGACUGAUCCCCAGACCUUCUACCCCCCGUGUAUUGGACAUCUAAUCAAAGGCUUCUUUCUAGCUGGCAACUUGGGUUUUGGCUACAUUUCUUAGAUGAUCCUGAGGGUCUAGAUAAGAAGAUGUGCAUUUAAUGGAGGUUAAGAUUUCCUACUAGGUUGUGAAUAUAAGGGCUCAAGUCUCGUCAUUUUUUUUUUUUUUUUUUUAAACCUAGUGACUGACAGACAGUGAGUACUCCGUGUUUGUUGAAUGAAGGCAUACAGACUGCCAGACCUUUGGGGCAACUUCUGCUACAGGUGGAUCCCUUUGGAAGGCAGAUCUUUGCCACCAAAUCAAAUUCCUUGAGCCUUAUAUUCUGAUUGGGAGUAUUUCACACGGAUGUCCAGUCUCUUAUAGGUGAGUAUUUACUUGUCAAAAACAAAUAGUAAAGGCCAGCUAGGGAUUUUGGAUUCAGUCGAGCAGAGUGGGUGCCAUCAGAAUAGGGCAGUGAGGGGCCAAACAGGCCACAAGACAAAGGAAUAGUUCUAGUUUCCUGGUUUUCCUCCCAGUCCAGUGUGAAGCUCAGAGUAGAUCUUCUAUCAACACGGGGCGGUACCCUUUUUAAGUCAGAGACUGACAGCUGAGCAUCCAAGCAAAACGUGUGCUUUCUCAAAAGGGAAGUCAAGGUUCUUCUACUACUUCUGUCUGAGCCAAUGCUUCAUGUCUCAUAUAAGUCCCAAGGACGCCAGAGAUAGUGGGGUGGCAGGUAUCUAGCUAGGGCCAGUUAGAUGGCAUCAGAUUCUCCAGAGAAAACCCACUUGGCAAAGCCAAACUAGGCCCAGGAAAAGCAAUCCAAGCAUUUUGUGGGCAUGAGAGGAGAUUGGGGGGACAAAAGAAAGGAAGGAAGGAAGGAAGGAAGGAAGGAAGGAAGGAAGAAAGAAAGAAAAAGAAAGAAAGGAAGAAAGAAAGAAAAGAAAGAAAAGGAAAAUCAAUAGGCACAUGGGAGGGGAAAAAAAAGAAACGAAACAAAAAGCGAAAAUAAAAAAUAAAAAAAGUAGGGUUUAUUGACUGUCAUGCAUGUUAAAUUAAAGGGUGUAAGAUGGCUAGCAGUCUUUCUCUGAAGGCUGGAAUGUUAUUUUUGUGGUGUGGUGACUUCUGAGAUAGGCAGCCAUCUUGUUAUCAUCCCUUAUGUCAUCCAGGGAUGGGCAGCGCUCUCUCUACCUUGGCAACUGUUUCCUCUCUCUCCAGCUUCAUCUUUCCUUUUUUUUUUUUUUUUUUAAAUACCUUUUACAGAUUGAUUUAAACAUUUUUUAAACCACAUGCUUCUUUUUCUUGGCUCCAGCCAGAUCUCUGGGGGAAGAAGAGUGAUUGGCAGUGGUGACAGAACUCGGAAGGGUCUGUGAGAAAUUCUGGGGAGCUUCCACCUCCCUCAGGUUUCCCCACACAGGGCUGUCUCUCUCAGAGCUGUUCAUGAGAAUCAUUUAGGAACUGCUGCAGGUUUUGCUGAUGUCUUCUGAGCCCCUCCCCAGAAAGCCUAGGAGUUUCUAAUUGAGACAAGAAAUCAAGGAAAAAGACCCAGAAUCAUCUUUUCCCCAAAGUCAUGAGAGGAGGCCAGUAAAUGGAUCUAGGGGACACAAGUUUCCAAACUCCACCCCACCAGUCCUUCCUAGGAAGUUCUCAAAGGUGCAGCACCAAGAACCUGCCCUCUUCCUUCACCUCCUCCUCCCCCUCCUGUUCUCCUCUUGGGCCGGAGAGCCAGUGCUCUGGAAGAAGAGAGGGGAGAGGAGGAGAGAACGUCGCUCCUGCCGGCAUUCUGCUGUCCGGGGUGACAGGGACUGUUGGGCCCUCAAAGUGUGGCCUGGAGGUUGGGGUCCAGGAUGGUUUCUCGAUCUGGAGACUCAAUGUAAUUGGCAGCUUCUUGAAGCUUCAGCAGCAUGGCCAUCUAAAAAGGGCAAAGGAUGGAUUAAUGAGAGUUAGGACUCAGGGUCCCGCCCCCAAAAGGGAAACCUAAUACAAUCUAGAUCCUGGGUCUGAUUCUCGUUUCGUAAGUGAUUUAGAGCCCAGAGAGUUUACAAGUGGCUCAUGAAAAAGCAGCAGUGAAGGGGCUCCUGGGUGGCUUAGUCAGUUGAGCGUCCGACUCUUGGUUUCGGCUCAGGUCAUGAUCUCAGGUUCGUGAGAUUGAGCCCUGCAUCGGGCCCUGCACUGAAGGCGUGGAGCCUGCUUGGGUUUCUCUGUCUCCCUCUCUCUCUGCCCCUGCCCUGCACCUACUCUCUCUCUCAAAAUAAAUGAAAGAAAGAAAGAAAGAAGGAAAGAAAGAAAGAAAGAAAGAAAGAGCAGCAAUGAUUACUUAAACCCUGUCUGUAAGCAUGUGUGUGUGAUGUUCAGGAGUGUGGCUGAGACAUAAGGUGCCCUGCCGUGAGCUGAUGCCCAAACAGCGGAGACCCCCUCUGCUUCUAGGGCGCUCACACUCUAGAAAAGGACAGAAGGCGCGUACACACUGACUAAUAUUGGGAGGGAUGUGCAAAGUGGCCCUAAGAACAUCUGUGUCUGUCAACUUCUUCCAAUAGAUGACAACCAGUGUUAUCAUGAACCAGAUUCCCCUGGCUCACGUACCCUAGUGCUCUGUGUCAAGUCUAAACUCUUCAGUGUAAUUUUUUUUUUUUAAUUUUUUUUUUUUUUCAACGUUUAUUUAUUUUUGGGACAGAGAGAGACAGAGCAUGAACGGGGGAGGGGCAGAGAGAGAGGGAGACACAGAAUGGGAAACAGGCUCCAGGCUCCGAGCCAUCAGCCCAGAGCCCGACGCGGGGCUCGAACUCACGGACCGCGAGAUCGUGACCUGGCUGAAGUCGGACGCUUAACCGACUGCGCCACCCAGGCGCCCCUCUUCAGUGUAAUUUACCUCCUUCCUUCUUCCCUCUUUACCUCUCACUCUCCCCUGGUUCUUCAAGACUAUGACCCUCCAUUUUAGCUAAGUACGCCUGGUUGGUUCUUUAUCGAAUCUUCUCUCUACCCUUUUAUUUACAUGAUCACUAACAGUCUUCCAACUUAAUGGCUUUUUUUUUUUACACAGAUAACUACAUUUUUAACAAAGUCAAAAUUGAAAUAAAAGUGUAUUAUGUGGAAGAAUUUCUUGCAAGGUAAAACGGCAAGGUCACAGAAGUUGUGCACAUUGAAAUUUUAAUAUAAGCUGCCAAGUUAUCUUCCGAAAAUGACUUUGCUAAUGAACACUCCCACCAGCAGAGUAGGAAGCCUGUGCUUCCAAACACACUAUUUUUGCAGUGUGAAAUGGUUAUCUCCUUAUUUGGAUGUGCAUUCCCGCAAUUACUAGAGAGGUUACGGAUCUUUUUAUAUUUUUAUUGGCCAUUUGCACUUCCUCUAGUCAAAUGCCUAUUCAUAUCUUUUGUCCGUUCUAUUUGGAAAUUUUGUGGCAAGUUUUAUAUAUUCUAUUUUUUUAAUGUUUAUUUUUGAGAGAGAGAGAGAGACAGAGUGCAAGCUGGGGAGGGGCAGAGAGAGAGAGGGAGACACAGAAUCCGAAGCAGGCUCCAGGCUCCCAGCUGUCAGCACAGAGCCUGACGCGGGGCUCGAACCCACGACUGGACCCAUGACCUGAGCUGAAGUCGGACACUUAACUGACUGAGCCACCCAGGUGCCCCGGGAAGUUUUAUAUAUUCUAGAUACCAAUCCUCUUUUGGUUACAAGCCUUGCAAAUAUUUGCCCCUAGUUGGUCACUUGUCUCAGACUGCUUCUUACAGGGGCUCAUGAAAUCCACUGAGCUGAGGCAGUCUUCAGGACAGCACGAGAGCAUAGAGGGAGAGGUAGUGACCAUGCAUCCUACCUGGGAUCUGCCUGAGACUUGGCUCUUUACUAGAGUAUAUCUUGCCAGCAUGCAUUAUUAUUUAGCUUAAGCUAGGUUGCAGGCAUAUGAUCUUUAUAACCCAGGAUUCUGAGAGUUGAGCUCCUCACUGACCUCCUCCUAGUCCUGGGCUUGCUGAUACCCUUCAGUGUCCAUCAGGGUAUGCACGAAGAGUUCAAUUCCAUAAUACUCUUACUUUUACCUUAGAAUGGCUUCUACUCACCAGAGGGUCCGAGUCCAGAGAACUUGGGGUGCUAUCUUUGACUGUCCUAUCCUCGGGAGGU
rnacentral:lncRNA from 1 species